AGUCACAAGCCGCUCCGGCGAGUGGACGGUGCCUGGGCGGCCGCCCCGCGGGCAAAGGUCUCGGGACCCGGUCUGUCAGACCUUGGACGUGGAAACUGGCAUCUCCCCUGGCUCGGAGUCCGCCCUCUCGGGGCGCCAGCGCAGUUGAUCGAUGUGCCUGAGCUGGCCUCUGUGAUUCCACGGCUGUCCCCAUGAGCAGGUGGCUCCAUGCUUCAAAGGCCCUGGAUUCCUGGGAUAUGAUGCCACCUUUCCUGAAGUCUGGGCUCCUUACCUUCUCUCUGCUCUGGGCAUACCAUUCCCAAAGGACAGUGGUACUGCGGGGAGCGUCUGCUGGGCCCCCUCCAUGUGUUCUGGACAGGCUGGGGUCCUGGGAAGGGUGCACCACCCAAGUGCGGGGGUGGCAUUCAAGCUCGACACAGAACCUGUGAGAACGGGCCUGACUGUGCCGGCUGCAAUGUGUUGGUUGAAACCGAGGAUGCAGAACAUGUGGACAUGGAGGCCUGUCUAAUUAUCAUCAGUCAGCCACCAUAGGCAACGGGCACGAGUCACACGACACAACAGAAAACAGUUUAAGAAAAUGCUACCCCAGAGCAGGUUUCUCUUGUCCUUGGAAAAAGCCUGGCAUGAAGAGCAGUCUUUGCUUCCUCCACUUAAUCUUGCCUCAGCCGAGCCUGCAGUCAGCAUCUCUCACCAGGCCCACCUCAGCUCCAGGGGCCAUUCGAGGGACCAGCUGGAGUUUUCUGGUGUUUCCUGGAUUUAUCACUAAAAGACCUGCAUCCUGGGAAAGCACUUUCUCAGUCCCCUGAAGAGUAGAGAUGGACAUUCACCCAAAGGAAGGCUUGUUUCUCAGAGGAAGACCAAAACCUUAUUACCAGACCAAGGCAGGAUGAAAAGUGGGCUGGACAAAAACAAUUAAGCCUCAUGGCGUAGCCCUCUUAGGAGCAGAUGGUGGUGUGUCAUCUUCUAAACUCUACUGUCACUUGGGGGAACUGGCAGAGGAGGAGCCUGGUGUGUGGACCUGGUUUGCCACUUUGUCUAGGAGGCCCCAGAGCCCUGUGUGUUACGGGGGCUGUUAAUUACUCAGGGAGGUUAUCACACGGUCCCUUCUCUGCAUUGGACAGAAAUACAUCUCCCCGUGAUGACAGAGACACAGCGGUUCUUUUUACUCUGCUCUUUCCUUGGGUCCUCCACUCUGAGUGUCCCUGAUUCCUGCGCAGUGUCCUUCCAAAGCCUGGGUUUGGAGGACAGGACCUAUGUGUCCCAUGUCGGCCACCGUCUGUUGCUAACAAAUUGAGGUUACACCAGCUCUAACCGAGCAUUCAUUUAUUGAAUAACAGGCACAGAAAAGCCUCUGGAGUUGCCAGCAUGGUAGAAACCUAGACCAGGCCUCUGAGGGCGUGUAAACAGUACCCAGGUCGUGAGACCAAUUUCUGCUGAAAUCGCUUAAUUUUGCUGGGUUCCUUGGCCGCGGCCUCACCUCCCACCUCCUGCAAACCUCUCUCCAGUGAGUGUCCAGGCGUCCAGAGGAAGGAGUUUCCAUGGGUCACUGAAAAUCUGCCACCACUCCUGCGAACUCCGUAGACCACUGUCGUUCUCCUUCGUUCAGUCGGUGAACGUGGCGUGUUCCAUACAUAUGUUGCAUCAUUAAAUGUCAUUUCUGAGCGAGGAUUAAAAUUACCAAGUGACUUAAACUUAAUGAUAUAUUAACUGCACAUCUCAUCAGAAUCCUUUCCAACUGCGAUCUCCCACUUUAUCAAAAAAUUCAUGCUUGAUCAUGCACCAGAGUAGUCAAAAGGUGGGCUUCUGGAAACUUGCAUCGGCUAAAGCCAGAUAUGAUUUCUGUCCCAUGAAACUUGUGUUAAUGAUGUCAUCAGAGGGAAAAAGAAGCCUCACUCGAAAAUUAACUUACACUUCUACUCUGAGGAGGUGGUUUGGGAACAGAGGAGCUAGGACCUUCUUUUUGAGGCUUAAGGGAAUUUACUCACGUUUGCUUAAGUAUGGCACGGUUUUUGUUUAUUUGUUUGGUUAGCUGGUUUGGUUUCCAGGUUUGGUUUUGGUUAGCCUAACCCCGUUGCUUCAAAAUUACUGAAAAAAAACUGAUCUUUAUAGUUUAUGAUAACAUUAUACUCUGAAUCCUAAAGCCUUCCCCAUCUCAUUUCAGAGAUGUUCCAACCAAAAUUACUCUUUCAUUUCAUGAAUCAACAAAAUAAGUCCAAUAUUACGAUGAUCACCAAUCAAAACACACCUUGGGGAUAUCCUCUUGCAUCUGGAAUUGGCACAAUGCUGAUUGGUUGUAUAACUGUCCCCACCUCGUUUUGGGAAAUUCGAUGAUAUUUUACCUCUGCCACUCCUAAGAAACCAAGACAGGCGUGCCAGGCUUCUCUCUACCUGAAUGCACAGAUAGAAAGAGGGUUUGAUGAAGAGCUGGAACGUGGAUGACAUAUGCUAUGUUUUCUUUGCACGUCCAUGGAUAAAAAUUAUGAUGUAAAGGUACACCUCCAACAAUUGGCCAGUACAUUUCCUGUGGGCCAUGUAGGUGUUUGGUACAUUACUGGAUGCAAAGGUGGUAUGACAAAAAGUACGAGACACACUGCUUAAGAGCUGUCAUCACUCGGCGGUCUGUGGAUCACCCACCCAGCUCUGGGUUGUUUCUGGAGGUGCAGAAGAUACAUAAAUGUGGCUGCUUUCCUGAAGAAACAUGUACACUAUUUGGAGGUCUCAGCAGAGCUCGACUGGAUAGUAGGUGCGGCCUCUAAAAGCCAAGGUCUUCAUCACCUGAAUCCCCAGCCCAGUGCAGUGGGUUAAAGGGUCUGGUGUGGGUUGCAGCUGCCGCUCAGAUUCAAUCUCUGGUCAGGGAACUUCCAUCUGCCGUGAGUGCAGCCAUUAAAUUAAAUUUUUUUAAAAAGAUAGAGAUUUAUAGUGAUAAAAGCUAGCAGGAGAGUCUUAUGCAAACUAAAAUUUUCAGCUCUUAUAUUCAUGGAAGAACCACGUCUGUAGGCUAACAGAUUAAGAGUGAGAAUGCUAAAUCAUUACUUCCCCUUCCGCUGCUUUGAAAUCUCCUAUGAGUCCCCAAAGGGAGAAAUGGUUUGUGUGCUUUACUGCUGUGUGUCUGUUCUCGAGUCUGUAUUUCUUGAUGGUAAUUUGUGUCUGCGUGUGUGAGAAUGCUUAAAAUAUGGUCUCUGCAACUUUCAAGUACGCAUAUAACACGGAUAUUGUGUUAUUAACGGUAGUCCCCAUGCUGAACGUUAGGUCCUCUGACCUUAUUCUUAUGUCUGAAAAUGUGUAUCAUUUGACCUCCAUUACUUCAUUUUCUCCUCCUCCCAGCCACUGGUAACCACCAUUCUGUUAUUCUAUUCUCUGUUUCUAUGAAAUCAGCUUUUUUAAAAGUUCCACACGUAGAUAAUAAUAUGAGAUAAUAUUUAUCUUUGUCUGGCUUAUUUCACUUAGCAUCAUGCCAUCCAGGUUCAUCACAAAUGGCAGGAUUUCCUCCCUUUUUCUGGCUGCAUAAUAUUCCAUCAUGUUCCAUUUUCUUUAUGUCUUCAUCCAUUCAUGGACAUUUAAGUUGUUCCUGAACCUUGGCUACUAGGCAUAAUGCUGCAGUGAACAUGGGAGUGUAGCUAUCUCUUCAAGAUACUGAUUUAGGUUCUUUUGGAUAUAUGCUAGAAGUGAAAUUGCUGGUAGUUCUAUUUUAAAUUUUUUGGGGGAUGGCCAUUCUGUUUUCCACAGUGGCCGCACUGAUUUACAUUCUCACCAACAGUUUAUAAGGAUUCCCUUUUCUCCACAUCCUCGCCAACAUAUUUUAUCUCUUUUCCCUUUGAUAAUAGCUUGAUGAUAAUUGUUCUCGAGUCUUGUACAGAGCUUUGUGGAACUGCAUCUCUUUCUUUCAGAUAAAUGAGUGUUUGAUCUCAGGAAAUCUUCCAUUGCCACUGGUAAAUCUGAGCUGUCUCCAUUUUAAAUUGAGUUAAAAGCAAAAGUACCGCCUACCCUCCGAAGCUUUUCUUUAAUUCCUAGUAUCAGUGUGUUUAAUUGGAAAGAGAUUUUAAAGACCAAUAGUGUAAGGCUUAAGAGAUUCUGGCACCUUUGGGGAUUGUUUUAAAAUUAUUGCAUGAAUUCUUUUUUAUUUUUUUUCCCACUGGGGGUUAGGCCUGACAGGCCACGAAUGGAUCUGUCAUUCUCCCAUAUACUCUCAGUAUUUAUUAUUAUCAUCUGCCUCAGGGGCUUGUAGAUUAAUCAAAAAUAUCCUUAAGUUAUCUUGCAAGUAAAAGGAAAUUAACCAGCUUUCCCACCUCAUUUUAUGCUAAUAUAUUAAAUUAUGAGCUCUGAAGAAAUUAACAAGGACCUGAGAUCAAUGACUGUCUCUUCCUCUGAGUAAAUUAAAAUAGAAUAAGUACAAAUAUUCUGUAAUCAUCAGGUAUUAAACUCCUUUCCUCUUUUUUCCCCCUUUUAACAUAACUCAGGCUGUAAAACCUAAAUAAAAUCUUACAUCUAGUUCAAACCCCUUCCUUUGGAAAAGAAAAGCAUGAGGUCUGUGUGUGUGUGUGUGUGUGUGUGUGUGUGUGUGUGUCUACGUGUGUGUGUCUGCAUGUGUGUAAACCAUAUGUACAUACUUAUAGAAACACAUUGUGUAUAUAUGUAUGUACACACGGUGUACAUAACAUAUACACAAUGAGUGUAUGUAAACCGAGAGUAUCAUUCCUUCCUAAAUAAUCCUACAUUUAUUUGGGGUGACACAUGAUAAAAUGUAUAGUGAAAUCUGGAAGGUGAUUUCAUGACUUCCUAAAGACUAACAGGAGAAUUGUUAUAAAAUUUCUAUGAGAAAAAAAUAAUACUUUCACAUCUCUAAUGAAACACACCCUUUUAAAAAGUGAAGAGUGUUUAACAUGAAAUAGCAUCAACUCUGUGAUGCCAUUAUCCUCUCAGAACCCAUCAAGUCGUACACAAAAUCCUAAUGAAUUUAUCGACAGCUCAUCCAUCCAGAGUUCCGACUUGAGUUGAGGCAGGUGUCAAGAUGCACUUGCCAAACAGGGUGAUAACACCGCCCCCACAGUUUCAUCGCAAAGCACCAUCUGCUCCAAGCACAUGGACUGUCAAAUCCUGGCUUGUGCCCCCUGGCAUUUGGUGACGGUGGCACUGACAUGCAGUGACUUUGGAGGAUGCGUUCACAUUCUCAGUUCUUCAAACCCUGCCUAGGUCACAGCAGCAAUCUGUCAACGGAGGCGGUUGGAAGAGGCAGGAGGCAAUGUAUUCUGUUUGUCUGGUCCCCACUCUGAACAUGACUAGUUUUUAUGCCAGUCACCAUGUCUAAAAUGUCUUCAAAGAGCACCUGUGAUCAUGCUCUCUCUCAAACCCGGUCACUGAGAUGUUCUAAGUCAACGGUUUCCACGUGACACCAAGAGACACAAAGCCUUAACCGUGUUAGAGAUUUCGUGAAGCUCUGGUCAGGAAGGGAAUGGCAUUGGGGCCACCUGACCUUCACGUGAAGACACGCUAUCACAUUUCUGUAACAAAGGGUGCUGGGGGGGCUGGCGGUGAAAUGCUGUCUCAACUCAGUUUUGAGGCCCUGGCAGGAGGCCUGCCAGUUUCUCUUCGCAAGAAUUGCUCAAGUCCACACCACACACACUUCCUUUGUGGGACUCUCAUAUUUCAGGUGCUAUGCAGUCACCCUAACUGCCCAGGGGACAGGUCCCCACUAGGAUCAACUCUGUGCCCCAGGGCCCCCAAAUUUAUGCACGUUGGCCAGUUCACUGAGAGCCUGGUAAAGCCUGGCCAAGCCCGCCCCACUUGCCACACUGAGCUGCAGCUGUGGCUCCAGCCUCCUGGCACCGUGUCCCCAAGUGUGGAUCCUGUGGCAGCCUUCUCUCGUUUAGAGCUGAAAGUAACAAGAGAUCUGCCUUUCAAGGACCUGGGUAUCUUUAUGUUCUGUCCUACCAUCCCGCCAAUUACCAUCCUCCAUAAUAAAUUCUAAUUAUAAAACAAUCACGUUGAUUUGACUGCUUGGAUCUGAUCCCA
rnacentral:lncRNA from 1 species